rnacentral:pre_miRNA from 1 species
UCAUGAUGCUUCUGAUGAUGAUGAUGAUGGUGAUGAUGUCGUUGUUGCUGAUGAUGAUUGCUCAUCAUCAUCAUUAUCAUCAUCAUCAUCAUCAUCAUCU